AACUGAGCCGCCCAGGUGCCCCAGAAUUUUAUUUGAUAAAUCUAUCUGCUAAACUUCUAAGACCGUGCAUCGCAGCUGGAAUGCCCCACAUCUGGGUGGCCCUCCGUGACCCCCUGCCUGAAGCAGCUGCCACUUCAUUGACUCCCCAUUACGGUACUUCCCUGAGGACAACAUUGUCCUGGGAGCAUUUCCUAAAGGGAACAGAGAAUCUUGGAGAGUCCUGGUGAGUGGAAGAGAGGAAGGAAGCUGGCACUGUGCUUUCAUGCCCUACAAUGGCUCCUCCCAACUCAUCAACUGACCAUUACUGAGCUCCCAUCUCUGGACUUCAAGACCUUUGGAAAAUGUUCAUAAACAUGUUCAGAAUCCCCUGGUGUGAGUAAAACAUUUUUAUAAGAUUGUAAAAUAAAGAAAACUGGCACACA